rnacentral:rRNA from 1 species
GAUGAACGCUAGCGACAGGCUUAACACAUGCAAGUCGAGGGGCAGCGGGGGCGGAAGCUUGCUUUCGCCCGCCGGCGACCGGCGCACGGGUGAGUAACACGUAUGCAACCUGGCCGCCACAGGGGGAUAACCCGCGGAAACGCGGCCUAAUACCCCGUGACGCCACCGGAGGGCAUCCUCCGGUGGCCAAAGGAGCGAUCCGGUGGCGGAUGGGCAUGCGGCGCAUUAGCUAGUCGGCGGGGUAACGGCCCACCGAGGCGACGAUGCGUAGGGGUUCUGAGAGGAAGGUCCCCCACACUGGUACUGAGACACGGACCAG